rnacentral:rRNA from 1 species
CCUACGGGAGACUGCAGUGAGGAAUAUUGGUCAAUGGGCUUACGCCUGAACCAGCCAAGUCGCGUGAGGGAAGACUGCCCUAUGGGUUGUAAACCUCUUUUGUCAGGGAGCAACGCCGGCUACGUGUAGCCGGACUGAGAGUACCUGAAGAAAAAGCAUCGGCUAACUCCGUGCCAGCAGCCGCGGUAAUACGGAGGAUGCGAGCGUUAUCCGGAUUUAUGGGGUUUAAAGGGUGCGUAGGCGGAAUGCCAAGUCAGCGGUAAAAUCGCGGGGCUCAACCUCGCUCCGCCGUUGAAACUGGCGUUCUUGAGUGAGCGAGAAGUAUGCGGAAUGCGUGGUGUAGCGGUGAAAUGCAUAGAUAUCACGCAGAACUCCGAUUGCGAAGGCAGCAUACCGGCGCCCAACUGACGCUGAAGCACGAAAGCGUGGGUAUCGAACAGGAUUAGAUACCCGAGUAGUC